GGAGCACUGUGUUUGAGAGGAAAGCCGGUCCAGGGCCCAGGAGGAAGGAGCUGUUUGGGUAACGCCGUGACUCGUGUUGUCACAACUCGCAUCCCCACGGGACGUGCCACUGCAGACCGUCAAGCUUUCUGGACGUCGUCCACAGGGGCCGGCCUCACCUCAGCGACCACGGCCCCCUGCCCGGCUGGGCCGAGGGCGGCUCCAGGCCCCAAGGUCCCGGGGCCCCGGGGGCCGAAGCGGCCUAGGAAAAUCCACUUCCGUAGGGCGCCGUGGCGGGCGAAGCAGAGGCCGAGCAGACCUGGAUCCAGGACAUCACCCGGUUCCCGAUUGCAGAGAUCACCGAUGGAUCAAUCGCUCAAUCUUUCCCGAAUUUCUGAAACUGAGCCCCCUCCCAGACAUCGUUCUGUACGUGGCCGAAGAAAGCAGGACUCGGGCCCAGGCAGACAAACCCCGGCGGAUGGAGUCUCCCUCUAAAACCUUCAAAUAAAGACCACCCCCUCUCCCCAAACUUGCAUUUCCUUGGCUAUUCUAUUAUCUGUGCUCAUCAUGUCCUCCGCCUCCAAAAAAAAAUCACCCACAUCCACACACUCCUGGGAGCGAGACCAGGGAUUUUGAGGAUCCAAAGGGUUUAGUGUUAUUGCCAUAGAGUCCCAUGCCUGCCCAAGUCUCUCGAGCCAAACCUUGAUUUUUUAAACUCUUAGGACCAGGAUCACCGGGAUGGGCACCGGCUUGGGAUAGGGUGUGGGGAGAGGAUCGGCGAAGAGGUAGGGAUGGGAUGUAGUUCGGGAUAGGGAGAGUUACCAGGAAGUAAGUCCCUUACAUUCAGCAACAAGCCAUUUCUGGCCACGUCCUUGUGUCAUCUGAGGAUUUUGCCUCAGUUACCUCACCUAUAAAAUGGAAAUUAAGACUGUAAGCCAAAUGUGGGACAGCGGCUUUGUCCAACAUGACUUGCUUACAUCCACUCCAGUGCUGAGUACAGUGCCUGGCACGUAGUACACACUUAACAAAUACCUUGCCUUGUCUUAUGCUGUGGAGUCGUCUCCGAUCCAUAGCCCCGCCAUGGACGUCUCUCCCGGCAUGACCCACCUCCAUCUGCCAUCCUUCUGGUAGCGGAUCCAUAGAGUUUUCUUGGUAAAAAUCCAGAAGUGGUUUGCCAUUGUUGCCUUCCGCACAGUUAGCUUGAGUCUCCGGCCUCGACUCUCUCCCACGUCGCCGCUUCCCAACUCAGGUGAGUUUUGAUGUGUAGCAGAUUGUCUUCUACUCGCAAGCCACUGCCCGAGCUAGGAAUUCAUUUAUUCAUUCAUUCAUUCAAUCAUAUUUACUGAGCGCUUACUGUGUGCAGAACACUGUAUUAAGCACUUGGAAAGUACAAUUCAGAAACAAAGAGAAGCAAUCCCUGCCCACAAUGGGCUCACAGUCUAGAAGGGGGGAGACAGACAUUAAAACAAGUAACAGACAUCAAUAGCAUCAAUACAAAUAAAUAGAAUUAUAGAUAUAUAUACAUCAAAACAGG
rnacentral:lncRNA from 1 species